UACGUAGGGUGCAGGCGUUAAUCGGAAUUACUGGGCGUAAAGCGUGCGCAGGCGGUUUGCUAAGACAGGUGUGAAAUCCCCGGGCUUAACCUGGGAACUGCGCUUGUUACUGGCAGGCUUGAGUGUGGCAGAGGGGGGUGGAAUUCCACGUGUAGCGGUGAAAUGCGUAGAUAUCUGGAGGAACACCGGUGGCGAAGGCGGCAUUCUGGACCGAUAUUGACGCUGAGGAGCGAAAGCCAGGGGAGCAAACGGG
rnacentral:rRNA from 1 species